CAUGAAGGAUAAAGGAAGGGUGAUCGGUAAGAAAAGGACAUUGGUUUUCUGCAGACAUGGUAGUACUUCUAAGGAGAUCAAGACUGAUUGGGUUAUGAAUGAGUUCUAUAUCGAGGACAGCCCUUAUUAUGAGAAGAAUUUUGUUGUCUGUUACAUAGAAAAAACAA